UACGUAGGGGGCAAGCGUUGUCCGGAAUCAUUGGGCGUAAAGAGCGUGUAGGCGGCUCGGUAAGUCCGCUGUGAAAGUCCAGGGCUCAACCCUGGAAUGCCGGUGGAAACUGUUGAGCUAGAGUCCGGAAGAGGCGAGUGGAAUUCCUGGUGUAGCGGUGAAAUGCGCAGAUAUCAGGAGGAACACCAAUGGCGAAGGCAGCUCGCUGGGACGGUACUGACGCUGAGACGCGAAAGCGUGGGGAGCAAACAGG
rnacentral:rRNA from 1 species